AGCCAUUCAUGAGGGAGCCUUUCCCAUGACCCAAACACCUCCCACCAGGCUCCACCUCCCACACUGGGGAUCACAUGAGGUAUGGAGCAGGCAAACAUUCAAAAACUCUGUCACUAGGCUUAGGAGUUUGCUUUUGUUCUGCUCUGACAGAUAAUGAUGACAGAAUUGCACUCAAGCAGAUGGCUCGAUUCUGAAUAUAUCAAAGGAACAAUUUUCCUGAUAAAAAGACCUGAGAGGAAUUAAUCCCAUCUUAGGUCAUCAAGAAAAGAGCACUGGAUGGAUGGCCCAACCUCAUGACGAAGCGUUAAAAAUCAGCUGAGAAUUAGGAUCUAUAUCCCAUAAGAGAAGCUCACAGAUUGGCCGUAUCUAUUUUUGUGUCUCCAAAUCACCAAACAGAAACUAGUACAUAACAGCCCCUUAACUGUUGUUUGAAUCAAUGAAUGAAUCAAUGAAUGAAUGACAUUAGAGAAUUUUGAGUACUGUGAGCCAUAGAAAAUUGGUUCAUUUGACUUUAGGCAAAAAAUACAUAAAUAAAUAAAAAGAAAGAAAGGCAGAUUAUAGCUAAUACUCCUUAGACCAGCACUGUCUAAUAGAACAUUCUGUAAUGUUAGGGAUGGUUUAUAUUUGUGCUGUCCAAUAUGGUAACCACUAGCCAAAUAUGGCUAUCCAACACUUAAAAUAAGC
rnacentral:lncRNA from 10 species